CAGAGGGUGCGAGCGUUAAUCGGAAUUACUGGGCGUAAAGCGCGCGUAGGCGGCUUUUCAAGCCGAUUGUGAAAUCCCCGGGCUUAACCUGGGAACUGCAGUCGGGACUGUCUAGCUAGAGUAUGGGAGAGGGAAGUGGAAUUUCAGGUGUAGCGGUGAAAUGCGUAGAUAUCUGAAGGAACAUCAGUGGCGAAAGCGACUUCCUGGACCAAUACUGACGCUCAUGUGCGAAAGCGUGGGGAGCAAACAGGAUUAGAUACCCUGGUAGUCCACGCCAUAAACGAUGAGAACUGGAUGUCGGGAGGGUCUGCCUCUCGGUGUCGUAGCUAACGCGUUAAGUUCUCCGCCUGGGGAGUACGGCCGUAAGGUUG
rnacentral:rRNA from 1 species